AUUGAACGCUGGCGGCAGGCCUAACACAUGCAAGUCGAGCGGAGCGGCGGACGGGUGAGUAAUGCCUAGGAAUCUGCCUGGUAGUGGGGGAUAACGUCCGGAAACGGGCGCUAAUACCGCAUACUAUCAGAUGAGCCUAGGUCGGAUUAGCUAGUUGGUGGGGUAAAGGCCUACCAAGGCGACGAUCCGUAACGGGUCGUAGAGGAUGAUCAGGCACACUGAAAAUGAGACACGGUCCAGAGUCCUAAGGGAUGCAGCAGGGGGGAAGAUUGGACAAGGGGCGAAAGCCUGAUACAGCCAUGGCGCGUGGGUGAAGAAGGUCUUCGGAGUGUAAAGCACUUUAAGUUGGGAGGCGUUACCAACAGAAUGGGCACCGGCUAACGUCGUGCCAGCAGCCGCGGUAAUUC
rnacentral:rRNA from 1 species